rnacentral:rRNA from 1 species
AGCGAACGUUAGCGGCGGGCCUAACACAUGCAAGUCGAACGGGCUGUAGCAAUACAGUCAGUGGCGCACGGGUGAGUAACGCGUAGAUAAUCUACCUUCCGGCGGGGGAUAACAUUCCGAAAGGAAUGCUAAUACCGCAUAAGACCACGGGGUCCUCGGGCCCUGAGGGAAAAGGUGGCCUCUCCUUGGAAGCCAUCACCGGAAGAUGAGUCUGCGUCCCAUCAGCUAGUUGGUAAGGUAAUGGCUUACCAAGGCGAAGACGGGUAGCUGGUCUGAGAGGAUGAUCAGCCACACUGGUACUGGAACACGGACCAGACUCCUACGGGAGGCAGCAGUGGGGAAUAUUGGGCAAUGGGCGGAAGCCUGACCCAGCCACGCCGCGUGAGUGAUGAAGGCCUUCGGGUUG